AACGAACGCUGGCGGCAGGCUUAACACAUGCAAGUCGAGCGCCCCGCAAGGGGAGCGGCAGACGGGUGCGUAACGCGUGGGAACGUACCUUUUGGUUCGGAACAACUCCGGGAAACUGGAGCUAAUACCGGAUAAGCCCUAACGGGGAAAGAUUUAUCGCCGAAAGAUCGGCCCGCGUCUGAUUAGCUAGUUGGUGAGGUAACGGCUCACCAAGGCGACGAUCAGUAGCUGGUCUGAGAGGAUGAUCAGCCACACUGGGACUGAGACACGGCCCAGACUCCUACGGGAGGCAGCAGUGGGGAAUAUUGGACAAUGGGCGCAAGCCUGAUCCAGCCAUGCCGCGUGAGUGAUGAAGGCCUUAGGGUUGUAAAGCUCUUUUGUCCGGGAAGAUAAUGACUGUACCGGAAGAGUAAGCCCCGGCUAACUUCGUG
rnacentral:rRNA from 1 species